ensembl:lncRNA
UAAGGUCAGGGUUAAGGUCAGGGUUAAGGUCAGGGUUAAGGUAAGGGUUAAGGAAAGGGUUAAGGUCAGGGUUAAGGUCAGGGUUAAGGAAAGGGUUAAGGUCAAGGUAAGGGUUAAGGUAAGGGUUAAGGUCAGGGUUAAAGGAAGGGGUUAAGGUCAGGGUUAAGGUCAGGGUUAAGGUAAGGGUUAAGGUCAAGGUCAAGGUAAGGGUUAAGGUCAGGGUUAAGGAAAGGGUUAAGGUCAAGGUCAGGGUCAGGGUCAAGGUCAGGGUUAACGUAAGGGAUAAGGUAAAAACUAAAAUGUGUGCCAAGCACUGGAAUUGAACACCCUCGGCUCACCCUCGGAAACUCGCGGCUUACUUCCAUCCUGUCCACAACUCCCUAGCAAACCCAAGCCUACUUGAUGGUAAUAGCG